ensembl:lncRNA
GUAUGAUUCCUGCGAGAAGCCGGCGUUAGUUUGAUGUUGAAAGAGAGCGAGGCUGCUGUGGAACAUCAAGCAGAGUUGUGGAGGUUGUCAUGUGACACAUUCACUAGCCCAACAGUGGGAGAUCUUCAGAACCAUCUCCUCUUCCCCACUGUGUGGCCUGUCACUUAACCCUUACUCGCUCAAUUCAUCUCUGUCAGGACACUGCUGAAGAUGCUGUUUGAUGACUUCCGUUGGCUCCUCAGGUGUCACGUCACAAAGCCCCGAGGAAAUAAAAGAAGAAUGAAUGGGAACUCCUACACGUAAUGCUCCAAUCAAACAGACCUUGAGCUGAAGAUAACACACUUAUCCAGAGAAAAGGACACAUGCUCUGGACACCAAGCAAGCCAGGACCACCACUCAAAUCAUGGGUGCAUGAUGCCCAUGAUGGUACUCCAGAUGAUCUGAAGAUGUUGGAGCUGUUUUAUCAUCAGACUCUUUGAGGGCCCAGAGGCAGAGACGUAAACAAGAGCAACUGAUCAAGAGAUAGGACGGUUGUCUCUCAGACUGGGACAGAUAAGUUCUACUGAGCCUCCAGAGGGGCAAAGGCUAUUCUGACUGGCACAAUAAGGCAGAUGGAGACACAGGUAGUGCCCAAAUGGAGAUGCAGGGAAACCCUGAAGACCAGACAAAGGCCCUAACAGAGACCAAGCCACUUGCUGCUUGUCUGAUCUGCAUUUGAUUAAACUUUAAACAUGGACACAACAGUGUGCCUGCUCCAAAUGAACAGCAAUAACUUGGUGCACAUCUGACAUCCUCUUGGCUAUUUAAGUAUCACUGAAUUUGAACAUCCUGUCAACAUAUUUUGACGUUCACUAUGAUUUUACCUAUAUUAUCUGUCAAGAACAUAAUCAUGAACCUGGGUUCCAUGUGAAUUCUUGUACUUUCAUUGUAUGACUACUUAUGUGUAGCAGGCAAGUGUGCAUCUUCAGACACAGGGCAAGAUAGGGAUAGCGAAG